rnacentral:rRNA from 1 species
CCCGCACAAGCAGCGGAGCGUGUGGUUUAAUUCGAUGCAACACGAAGAACCUUACCAGGGCUUGACAUGUUUAGAAGUAGGAACCCGAAAGGGGGACGACCAGUAUCCAAUCUGGAGCUAACACAGGUGCUGCAUGGCUGUCGUCAGCUCGUGCCGUGAGGUGUAUGGUUAAGUCCCACAACGAGCGCAACCCUCGUCGCUAGUUAAUUUCCCUAGCGAGACCGCCUCGCAAAACGAGGAGGAAGGCGGGGAUGGCGUCAAGUCAGCAUGGCCUUUAUACCCUGGGCGACACACACGCUACAAUGGGUGGUACAGUAGGUAGCGAAGGAGCGAUCCGGAGCAAAUCCUUAAAACCAUCCUCAGUACGGAUUGCAGGCUGAAACCCGCCUGCAUGAAGCCGGAGUUGCUAGUAACCGCAUAUCAGCAUGGUGCGGUGAAUACGUUCUCGGGCCUU